rnacentral:lncRNA from 1 species
GGAUAGAGUCCCUAUGUUGUGGACAGACUGGGGCGAGGUCCCGCAGGAGGUUAAGGACAUGGUCCACAACGCGAUGUCGGUGAGUUUACAAAAUAAUAUUAUGUAUUACAUUGUUGAUUUCUCGAAAAACUAAACCAAUAAACGGUUAAAUACAGGUGUGGUUUGAGGUUCCCGAGCACCUGAAGGACAGCUGGGCCGACGUUGUGCAUGGGGGAAGGUACGUUGGGAAGUUAAUGAAAAACAAAAUUGUAUGUGAUAUUAAUAAUAUUUCUAAUAUUUUUGUUGUAUCUGUAGGUACAAGGAGUGGAAGAACGAGUUGCGGACCCACUGGACUACGCACGGGAACGCACGUUCUGGUACCCCUGCUGAGUUCCAGUACAGGGAGUACGAGUGGCGUUGGCUUCUGACAUCAGAAUUCAACAACCCUCGUAAACAGGUAUUUAAAAAAAUUAAUUAGUUAAUUUCUCAUUAAGUACGUCCGUUUUUAAAUAUUUUACUAAUAAUUUAUUUUUUUCUUUGAAGGCCGUUUCCCGAGCGAACUCUCAGAACCGGCAACGCAACACAAGAAACCAUCAUGGCGGUUCUAGACCGUUUGCUGUCUUCAUGGACGAGGCGGCCAGGGAACAUCCAGAAGUCAACCGGUACGUCUAUACGUACGAGAAGGCAUAUCCUGACUCCCAGGAGGAUAUUGUAAGUCAUCUUACGUUUUUAAAUUUUUAAAUUUACUUAUAUAUAUGUCAAAAUGUUAAUUAAUAAUUGUUUUCCUAUCCAUAUAGGCGAAAGUGAGGGAGGCUAGUGACGAGGUGAUGAGUGCUAUAGUGAGGGAGACAUGGCCGGACACGCAGGAGGAAGAGAUGUCCGAAGCCAUGUCCCGGAUCGACACUUCGGAUCCGACGAUUGGGGCGAGGAUCAUGGGCACAGCCUUCCCACCGAGAGCAAACAACUUCUACUGCCGGGGUCUAGGAAAGAAAGGCGAGGGGGUCCUGAAGACCACUCCAGGAUUUCAACGAAAGGCAGCCUCGACCAGCAGCAGGACCACGUCCACGAUCACCAGGACGACUCAGCUAGAGUCGGAAGUUCAGAGACUACGAGAACAGCAAGCUGCUCAGGC